UAGCUUAUCAGACCGAUGUUGACC
rnacentral:ncRNA from 3 species